UACGUAGGGUGCGAGCGUUAAUCGGAAUUGCUGGGCGUAAAGCGUGCGCAGGCGGUUCGUUAAGUUCGAUGUGAAAGCCCCGGGCUCAACCUGGGAACUGCAUUGGAAACUGGCGGGCUUGAGUGUGGCAGAGGGGGGUGGAAUUCCACGUGUAGCAGUGAAAUGCGUAGAGAUGUGGAGGAACACCGAUGGCGAAGGCAGCCCCCUGGGCUAACACUGACGCUCAGGCACGAAAGCGUGGGGAGCAAACAGG
rnacentral:rRNA from 1 species